GGAUCGUGGCGAGAACGUCGU
rnacentral:miRNA from 1 species